rnacentral:rRNA from 1 species
UGCCAGCCGCCGCGGUAAUACGUAGGGUGUUAACGUUGUUCGGAAUCACUGGGCAUAAAGCGCACGUAGGCGGCUAGGUCAGUUUGGUGUGAAAGCCCUCGGCUCAACCGGGGAACUGCAUCGGAUACUGCCUGGCUUGAGGACGGUUGGGGUGAGUGGAACUCCUGGUGGAGCGGUGAAAUGCGUAGAUAUCAGGAGGAACACCAGUGGCGAAGGCGGCUUACUGGGCCUUUUCUGACGCUGAGGCACGAAAGCUAGGGGAGCGAACGGGAUUAGAUA